rnacentral:rRNA from 1 species
UAGGGAAUCUUCCGCAAUGGGCGAAAGCCUGACGGAGCAACGCCGCGUGAGUGAUGAAGGUCUUCGGAUCGUAAAACUCUGUUAUUAGGGAAGAACAUAUGUGUAAGUAACUGUGCACAUCUUGACGGUACCUAAUCAGAAAGCCACGGCUAACUACGUGCCAGCAGCCGCGGUAAUACGUAGGUGGCAAGCGCUAUCCGGAAUUAUUGGGCGUAAAGCGCGCGUAGGCGGUUUUUUAAGUCUGAUGUGAAAGCCCACGGCUCAACCGUGGAGGGUCAUUGGAAACUGGAAAACUUGAGUGCAGAAGAGGAAAGUGGAAUUCCAUGUGUAGCGGUGAAAUGCGCAGAGAUAUGGAGGAAUACCAGUGGCGAAGGCGACUUUCUGGUCUGUAACUGACGCUGAUGUGCGAAAGCGUGGGGAUCAAACAGGAUUAGAUACCCUGGUAGUCCACGCCGUAAACGAUGAGUGCUAAGUGUUAGGGGGUUUCCGCCCCUUAGUGCUGCAGCUAACGCAUUAAGCACUCCGCCUGGGGAGUACGACCGCAAGGUUG